rnacentral:rRNA from 1 species
CUGAAGAGUUUGAUCAUGGCUCAGAUUGAACGCUGGCGGCAUGCUUAAUACAUGCAAGUCGAACGGUAACAGGUUCUUCGGAAUGCUGACGAGUGGCGGACGGGUGAGUAAAGCAUAGGAAUCUGCCCAUGUAGUGGGGGAUAACUUGGGGAAACUCAAGCUAAUACCGCAUAAUUCCUACGGGAUAAAGAGGGCCUCUACUUGUAAGCUCUUGCUAUUGGAUGAGCCUAUGUCGGAUUAGUUAGUUGGUGAGGUAAUGGCUCACCAAGACAGCGAUCCGUAGCUGGUUUGAGAGGAUGAUCAGCCACACUGGGACUGAGACACGGCCCAGACUCCUACGGGAGGCAGCAGUAGGGAGUAUUGGACAAUGGGCGCAAGCCUGAUCCAGCAAUGCCGCGUGUGUGAAGAAGGCCUGCGGGUUGUAAAGCACUUUCAAUUGGGAAGAAAGAUUUAGAGCUAAUACCUCUUAAUAUUGACGUUACCAAUAGAAGAAGCACCGGCUAACUCUGUGCCAGCAGCCGCGGUAAUACAGAGGGUGCGAGCGUUAAUCGGAAUUACUGGGCGUAAAGAGUACGUAGGUGGUUAAAUCAGUCGGAUGUGAAAGCCCCAGGCUUAACUUGGGAAUUGCAUUCGAUACUGUUUGACUAGAGUACAGUAGAGAGAAGCGGAAUUCCUAGUGUAGCGGUGAAAUGCGUAGAUAUUAGGAAGAACACCAGUGGCGAAGGCGGCUUCUUGGAUUGAUACUGACACUGAGGUACGAAAGCGUGGGGAGCAAACAGGAUUAGAUACCCUGGUAGUCCACGCCCUAAACGAUGAGAACUAGAUGUUGGAGGAAUUUAUAAUCCUUUAGUAUCGUAGCUAACGCGAUAAGUUCUCCGCCUGGGGAGUACGGCCGCAAGGUUAAAACUCAAAUGAAUUGACGGGGGCCCGCACAAGCGGUGGAGCAUGUGGUUUAAUUCGAUGCAACG